rnacentral:tRNA from 1 species
GCAGUGGUGCUUCAGUAGAAGAAUUCUGAACUUGUAUGUGGAAGACCUGGGUUCGAUUCCCAGCCAAUGCA